CAUAUGGUACCUAUUAGCGGUAGAGAGUCUAACAAGAUAGGUGGCGAUAUGGCUUCUUAUGAGGU
rnacentral:ncRNA from 1 species